AGUGAACGCUGGCGGUAGGCCUAACACAUGCAAGUCGAACGGCAGCACAGUAAGAGCUUGCUCUUACGGGUGGCGAGUGGCGGACGGGUGAGGAAUACAUCGUAAUCUACUUUUUCGUGGGGGAUAACGUAGGGAAACUUACGCUAAUACCGCAUACGACCUACGGGUGAAAGCAGGGGAUCUUCGGACCUUGCGCGAUUGAAUGAGCCGAUGUCGGAUUAGCUAGUUGGCGGGGUAAAGGCCCACCAAGGCGACGAUCCGUAGCUGGUGUGAGAGGAUGGUCGCCGACACUGGAGCUGGAACACGGUCCAGACUCCUACGGGAGGCAGCAGUGUGGAAUAUUGGACAAUGGGCGGAAGCAUUAUCCAGCCAUACCGCGUGGGUGAAGAAGGCCUUCGGGUUGUAAAGCCCUUUUGUUGGGAGAGAAAAGCAGCAGGUUAAUACCCCGCUGUUCUGACGGUACCCAAAGAAUAAGCACCGGCUAACUUCGUG
rnacentral:rRNA from 1 species